rnacentral:lncRNA from 1 species
GAUCAUACCUUGGAGUGGUGACACGUGAUAAGAUUAGCAUUCUUGUUCCAUCUUUUGAUCAUGUGUCCGAGGUUGAUCGGAACGUUAUUUGGAACGAUAUAUUGGUAAGUUAAUUAAUAGCAUUUGAAUUAAAAUUUGUUUAUAUUGAUAAUUUUGUANUAAUACAACUUUAUUAUGUUUAUUUCAGCUGACAUUUGACAUUCCAAAUGUCCCAUCACUUAGAAAUAAGUGUUUGUCAACUGUUGCAGAAAAUUUCAGAAACUUUAAAAGCAAGUUGACAUCACGAUACAUCUAUGGAAAGCAUAAAGAUAAGAGUCCAUGUAGUUCAUAUAAGUCCAUUGAUGAAGACACUUGGCAGCGUUUUAAAGAGAGUCGGUUGUCAGAGGAAUGGUAGGUUAUUAUAAUUGAUAUUAUUCAAUUCUUCAUUAACAAAUAUAUAUCAUAUGAACUAAUUAAUUAAUGUGUAUGUGAUAGGCAAUUAGGAGCAAAGCACAAGAAACAAGUGCUCANAANAAAAACCCNCACCUAUUAUCUCNUNGUGGGUAUANGAAGCUUGAGGAGAAAAUCCUCAAGCAAAAGGCAGAUGCUAUAGCACCAUCUCAGGGUGGUAGCCCUCCUCAGCCUCCUUCUCCACCGUCUAGACAUNAGAAAUGGAAGUUNGCCCGUAUGCGACCAUCGGGCACCUACUCUUCCGACACUGCACGAGAGAUUUCUGAAAGAAUUGUAAGUUAUCACUGUUCCUAAAAUAAUAAGUAUUGUCAUUUUACAUACUACAUUAAACUAAUGGUGUUUUUGUAAUGUUACAGGACGCCUUGGUUGAGCAGAGCUCCCAAGGCCAAUUCACUCCAGAGGGUCGCCAGGAUAUUCUUGCUGCUGCGAUUGGACGACCUGAGCACCCUGGACGUGUACGUGCUGCAGGUCCUGGAGUAGGAAUUAAAGAUUAUUUUGGGAGCUCUUCUCGUCAGCGUUCAUAUUCAUACCGCGAUACACAAUGGAUGACAAAAGAGAUCACAAAAAAGGUCCGAGAAGACCUUAGAGAGGAGAUCAGGGCCGAGGUUAGAUCACAAAAAAGGUCCGAGAAGACCUUAGAGAGGAGAUCAGGGCCGAGGUUAGAUCAGAGAUGAGGGCUGAAUUCCAAAGCAUGUUCCAGCAGCAGUUUCAGAACAUGCGCCCGGUGCCAUCUCCUAUAGAGGAACAUGUUAUCCCUGCCCUUCCCACAGGUAAACUUAAUAAACAUUUAUGUGCAAUUAUUU